CAUCUCAUAAAAACAUUUAAUUACCAUAAUUACUGCACAACAUGAAAUGUCUUGGGGAAUUUUUCUUUUGAGUUAUAAAGCUAUUCAGUUUGUAUGAAGCUAUUUCAAUCAUUUGAAGCUAUUUCAAUCAUUUGAAGCUAUUUGAAGCUAUUUCGAUUGUUUGAAGCUAUUUCGAUUGCUUGAAGCUAUUUCGAUUGUUUGAAGCUAUUUUGAUUGCUUCUUGAACAACAAAAUCUGGUCUUGUAUCACAACAAAAUUUUUUAUAAGCCUAUUUACUGUAAAUUUAAUUUUUGUUUUUUGCCGGCAAAGAUUAAUAGCAACGAAUUCGAAAUAGUUUCAAUUACAGGUACAGUAGGCCUUUUUUUACUGUAAAUCGUGAAAUCAACACGCCCUGAAAAACUUGAUUAGCACCAAAAUACAAGUUGAGUUGAUUUAAAGUAUUUAUUUUCAUUCGUCUUUACAAUGUUUACAUGUCUGGGGGAAUAAAAUGGCGGGGUGGGUGGGGUGGGGAGAAGGAUUGUUAGAAAAACCCAAAAAACAUUUCAUAUUUUAAAUUAUGUAAUAUAAAAUGUAAAUACAAAACAUGAUAUCAAUAAUCUUCCAUGAGGAUUGACCUUGUACUGAGUCACGAACAAAAUAUGAUAUCAAUAAUCUUCCAUGAGGAUUGACCUUGUACCGAGUCAACAACCAAAACAUGUUUCACAUAUUGUGAUAUUUAUUUAUCAUUAAAAUAUAUUGACUUUAAAAAAACAUUUUCAACAGGUUGAUAAAUCACGGUAACAACCUCAAUGCAAGUCAAUAACUGUUAAUUCAUAUUCAUUCUAAUGACUAAAUAAAGCAGGAAAAACAGCUAAGUGGAGCACCUCUGUUUAAUUUAAUCGAUACAGCAGUAUUUUAUACCAUACAUGACAGAACAUAGGAAUGUACACUUGUAUUUUAUACCUGAAAUCACACAGAAUAGGAAGAGACAUAUUGCACACAACUCAAAACUAAAGGUAAUAUAUCAAGUGUAUUAUUAAAAUUAUUAAAAACUACAAUCCUACAUCAACUAAACAAUUAUAAAUCCCCCCCGGAGUCUGAGGAGAAAGGCCUGGUAAUUAAAUCCUGUCCGAGUCUGAGGAGAAAGGCCUGGUAAUUACAUCCUGUCUGAGUCUGAGGAGAAAGGCCUGGUAAUUAAAUCCUGUCUGAGUCUGAGGAGAAAGGCCUGGUAAUUAAAUCCUGUCCGAGUCUGAGGAGAAAGGCCUGGUAAUUACAUACUGUCUGAGUCUGAGGAGAAAGGCCUGGUAAUUACAUCCUGUCUGAGUCUGAGGAGAAAGGCCUGGUAAUUACAUCCUGUCUGAGUCUGAGGAGAAAGGCCUGGUAAUUACAUACUGUCUGAGUCUGAGGUGAAAGGCCUGGUAAUUAAAUCUUGUCUGAGUCUGAGGAGAAAGGCCUGGUAAUUAAAUCCUGUCUGAGUCUGAGGAGAAAGGCCUGGUAAUUACAUCCUGUCUGAGUCUGAGGUGAAAGGCCUGGUAAUUACAUCCUGUCUGAGUCUGAGGAGAAAGGCCUGGUAAUUACAUCCUGUCUGAGUCUGAGGUGAAAGGCCUGGUAAUUACAUCCUGUCGGUGUCUGAGGAGAAAGGCCUGGUAAUUAAAUCCUGUCUGAGUCUGAGGAGAAAGGCCUGGUAAUUACAUCCUGUCCGAGUCUGAGGAGAAAGGCCUGGUAAUUACAUCCUGUCCGAGUCUGAGGAGAAAGGCCUGGUAAUUACAUCCUGUCUGAGUCUGAGGAGAAAGGCCUGGUAAUUAUAUCCUGUCCGAGUCUGAGGAGAAAGGCCUGGUAAUUAAAUCCUGUCUGAGUCUGAGGAGAAAGGCCUGGUAAUUAAAUCCUGUCUGAGGAGAAAGGCCUGGUAAUUAAAUCCUGUCUGAGUCUGAGGAGAAAGGCCUGGUAAUUACAUCCUGUCUGAGUCUGAGGAGAAAGGCCUGGUAAUUACAUCCUGUCCGAGUCUGAGGAGAAAGGCCUGGUAAUUACAUCCUGUCUGAGUCUGAGGAGAAAGGCCUGGUAAUUAAAUCCUGUCUGAGUCUGAGGAGAAAGGCCUGGUAAUUAAAUCCUGUCUGAGGAGAAAGGCCUGGUAAUUAAAUCCUGUCUGAGUCUGAGGAGAAAGGCCUGGUAAUUACAUCCUGUCUGAGUCUGAGGAGAAAGGCCUGGUAAUUAAAUCCUGUCUGAGUCUGAGGUGAAAGGCCUGGUAAUUACAUCCUGUCUGAGUCUGAGGAGAAAGGCCUGGUAAUUACAUCCUGUCGGUGUCUGAGGAGAAAGGCCUGGUAAUUACAUCCUGUCUGAGUCUGAGAAGAAAGGCCUAGUAAUUACAUCCUGUCUGAGUCUGAGGAGAAAGGCCUGGUAAUUACAUCCUGUCUGAGUCUGAGGAGAAAGGUCUGGUAAUUAAAUCCUGUCUGAGUCUGAGGUGAAAGGCCUGGUAAUUAAAUCCUGUCUGAGUCUGAGGAGAAAGGCCUGGUAAUUAAAUCCUGUCUGAGUCUGAGGUGAUAGGCCUGGUAAUUAAAUCCUGUCUGAGUCUGAGGUGAAAGGCCUGGUAAUUACAUCCUGUCUGAGUCUGAGGAGAAAGGCCUGGUAAUUAAAUCCUGUCUGAGUCUGAGGAGAAAGGCCUGGUAAUUAAAUCCUGUCUGAGUCUGAGGAGAAAGGCCUGGUAAUUAAAUCCUGUCUGAGUCUGAGGAGAAAGGCCUGGUAAUUACAUCCUGUCCGAGUCUGAGGAGAAAGGCCUGGUAAUUACAUCCUGUCCGAGUCUGAGGAGAAAGGCCUGGUAAUUAAAUCCUGUCUGAGUCUGAGGUGAAAGGCCUGGUAAUUACAUCCUGUCUGAGUCUGAGGAGAAAGGCCUGGUAAUUACAUCGUUUUCACACAAUAGAACUUUUUCCGUAAAAAAAUGUGAACUUCAUUUAUUUUAUAACAAUUGCUAAAACAAUAUCAAUCAGCUUGUUGUCCCAGAUUUAAGCAUCUGGGUUCUUAGUGUGGAAGGAAACUGGAGAACCAAGGAAAAACCACGUGGUCGGACAGUUGAUGCCAUUACUUGUCACGUCGGGGAAUCGAACCCUGGCCGCCAAGGUGAAAGGCAAGUGUGUUACCACUGUACCACUUGACCACACUUAGCUUUUCCCAUCACUCCAUACCAGCUGUUUACAACCAGAUAAGUGUAUAAAUAUCAAUACUGGAGUAUUUUAGGUACAAGUCCAUAUAAUAGGAACCCUAUCAGUCACUUUUGUAAUGAAGAAGAGUUUGGAUUUAUUAUGCGGUUAAA